rnacentral:lncRNA from 1 species
GCGCCGCCCCCGGCCGCCGCCUCGCACCUGCCUCCCAGGUGCGCGCGCUCCCUCCGCCCGUCCCCGCGCGCCUCCAGCCCCUUCCAGGGGUGCUGACGUUGCCCUGAGUUUGGUGGCCGCGCGUCCACCCGCCCGACUGCAGCUUUGUUGUCAUACUCUCCGGGUCCUCCUUUUCAACCCCUCAGGAGUCCUGGUUUCCAGUCACUGGGAUUUGGAGGUGAAGUCCCUGCCUACAGAGUUGGAAAGAUCUGUGUGUGUUGGUGGUGUAGUGGUGAGCAUAGCUGCCUUCCAGAGUUGGAAAGAUCAAGCACUGCUGAUCUCCCUCUCAAGAAGCACUCAAAAGGUAAUUCAUGGGUCCCCUACCUGAGGAUCACAGACUUGUACCGAUGAAGGAAGAAUUGAGAAAGGCAAGGAUAGGAAGUGGAUAUGGCUUAUGAAGCUUGGAGAAACUUUACCCACUCCGCACGGUUUUGCCAUUAGCUUCUGGUUCAAGCGAAAUGC